rnacentral:rRNA from 1 species
ACAUGCAGGUCGAACGAACUCUGGUAUUGAUUGGUGCUUGCAUCAUGAUUUACAUUUGAGUGAGUGGCGAACUGGUGAGUAACACGUGGGAAACCUGCCCAGAAGCGGGGGAUAACACCUGGAAACAGAUGCUAAUACCGCAUAACAACUUGGACCGCAUGGUCCGAGUUUGAAAGAUGGCUUCGGCUAUCACUUUUGGAUGGUCCCGCGGCGUAUUAGCUAGAUGGUGGGGUAACGGCUCACCAUGGCAAUGAUACGUAGCCGACCUGAGAGGGUAAUCGGCCACAUUGGGACUGAGACACGGCCCAAACUCCUACGGGAGGCAGCAGUAGGGAAUCUUCCACAAUGGACGAAAGUCUGAUGGAGCAACGCCGCGUGAGUGAAGAAGGGUUUCGGCUCGUAAAACUCUGUUGUUAAAGAAGAACAUAUCUGAGAGUAACUGUUCAGGUAUUGACGGUAUUUAACCAGAAAGCCACGGCUAACUACGUGCCAGCAGCCGCGGUAAUACGUAGGUGGCAAGCGUUGUCCGGAUUUAUUGGGCGUAAAGCGAGCGCAGGCGGUUUUUUAAGUCUGAUGUGAAAGCCUUCGGCUCAACCGAAGAAGUGCAUCGGAAACUGGGAAACUUGAGUGCAGAAGAGGACAGUGGAACUCCAUGUGUAGCGGUGAAAUGCGUAGAUAUAUGGAAGAACACCAGUGGCGAAGGCGGCUGUCUGGUCUGUAACUGACGCUGAGGCUCGAAAGUAUGGGUAGCAAACAGGAUUAGAUACCCUGGUAGUCCAUACCGUAAACGAUGAAUGCUAAGUGUUGGAGGGUUUCCGCCCUUCAGUGCUGCAGCUAACGCAUUAAGCAUUCCGCCUGGGGAGUACGGCCGCAAGGCUGAAACUCAAAGGAAUUGACGGGGGCCCGCACAAGCGGUGGAGCAUGUGGUUUAAUUCGAAGCUACGCGAAGAACCUUACCAGGUCUUGACAUACUAUGCAAAUCUAAGAGAUUAGACGUUCCCUUCGGGGACAUGGAUACAGGUGGUGCAUGGUUGUCGUCAGCUCGUGUCGUGAGAUGUUGGGUUAAGUCCCGCAACGAGCGCAACCCUUAUUAUCAGUUGCCAGCAUUAAGUUGGGCACUCUGGUGAGACUGCCGGUGACAAACCGGAGGAAGGUGGGGAUGACGUCAAAUCAUCAUGCCCCUUAUGACCUGGGCUACACACGUGCUACAAUGGAUGGUACAACGAGUUGCGAACUCGCGAGAGUAAGCUAAUCUCUUAAAGCCAUUCUCAGUUCGGAUUGUAGGCUGCAACUCGCCUACAUGAAGUCGGAAUCGCUAGUAAUCGCGGAUCAGCAUGCCGCGGUGAAUACGUUCCCGGGCCUUGUACACACCGCCCGUCACACCAUGAGAGUUUGUAACACCCAAAGUCGGUGGGGUAACCUUUUAGGAACCAGCCGCC